rnacentral:rRNA from 1 species
UACGAAGGGGGCUAGCGUUGCUCGGAAUCACUGGGCGUAAAGGGUGCGUAGGCGGGGCUUUAAGUCAGGGGUGAAAUCCUGGAGCUCAACUCCAGAACUGCCUUUGAUACUGAAGAUCUUGAGUUCGGGAGAGGUGAGUGGAACUGCGAGUGUAGAGGUGAAAUUCGUAGAUAUUGGGAAGAACACCGGUGGCGAAGGCGGCUCUCUGGACCGAGACUGGCGCUGAGGCGCGAAAGCGUGGGGAGCAAACAGG